GAAGUGCGAUAAGCAAUGCGAAUUGCAGAAUUCCGCGAAUCAUCAGAUCUUUGAACGCAAGUGGCGCCAGAGGGAUAUCCUUCUGGCAUGUCUGUUUCAGUGUCUGAGAGGUUUCACACUAAUCUUAAUGUGAUUGAACUGAGUUAGUAACUUUUAUUAGUUGCUAUACUCUUUUCUCUCAUGAAAGAUGCGCGAGUGGAUCUUUCGGUCCAAUGAAGUGGUCACAUCACUCGAAUGUGAUUUCAUUGGAAGCACCGAAUUAUCAUUAAUAAACUCGUGGUAUCAUUUAACUGAAUGAUGAUAUAUUAUCAUCAUCUCUCUCUACACCCUGCAUCUGAGACAGGCAAGAUCACCCGCUGAACUUAA
rnacentral:misc_RNA from 1 species